AAAGCAUGGAUAAUUGGAUUUCAGCAAAUAUUCGUGAAGAUUUCUGCAGAAAUUGAAGUAAAUAGCAGUUUAUGAAUUAAACGACAUUCAUGAUGUUUAAAUCACUGGCCUGCGCUUACAUUU
rfam:Tetrahymena thermophila SB210 genomic scaffold scf_8254476, whole genome shotgun sequence.